rnacentral:rRNA from 1 species
GACGAACGCUGGCGGCGUGCUUAACACAUGCAAGUCGAACGGGCCUUGUCCCCUUUUUUUGGGGGUGGGGUUAGUGGCGAACGGGUGAGUAACACGUGAGUAACCUGCCCCUCACUUCUGGAUAACCGCUUGAAAGGGUGGCUAAUACGGGGUGUUCUGGCCUGCUCGCAUGGGUGGGUUUGGAAAGAUUCGACCGGUUUUGGUUGUUUUGGUGGGGGAUGGGCUCGCGGCCUAUCAGCUUGUUGGUGGGGUGAUGGCCUGCCAAGGCUUUGACGGGUAGCCGGCCUGAGAGGGUGGGCGGUCACACUGGGACUGAGACACGGCCCAGACUCCUACGGGAGGCAGCAGUGGGGAAUAUCGCACAAUGGGCGCAAGCCUGAUGCAGCGACGCCGCGUGAGGGAUGGAGGCCUUCGGGUUGUGAACCUCUUUCGCCAGUGAAGAAGGUCCUGCUCUUUGUGGUGGGGUUGACGGUAGCUGGGUUAAUGAAGCGCCGGCUAACUACGUG